UCCCUCUUAGCUCAGUGGUAGAGCGCGUCACUAGUAUCCGCUUGGUAUUCGACAAGUAUAUGACGAGGUCAGUCGUUCAAGUCGGCUAGAGGGAA